rnacentral:rRNA from 1 species
AAAGCGCACGUAGGCGGCUUUUUAAGUCAGAGGUGAAAGCCCGGGGCUCAACUCCGGAACUGCCUUUGAGACUGGAAGGCUUGAACGUCGGAGAGGUGAGUGGAAUUCCGAGUGUAGAGGUGAAAUUCGUAGAUAUUCGGAAGAACACCAGUGGCGAAGGCGGCUCACUGGACGACUGUUGACGCUGAGGUGCGAAAGCGUGGGGAGCAAACAGGAUUAGAUACCCCGGU